CGCAGAACCUUACCAGCGUUUGACAUCCUCAUCGCGAUUGCCAGAGAUGGCUUUCUUCAGUUCGGCUGGAUGAGUGACAGGUGCUGCAUGGCUGUCGUCAGCUCGUGUCGUGAGAUGUUGGGUUAAGUCCCGCAACGAGCGCAACCCUCGUCCUUAGUUGCCAUCAUUAAGUUGGGCACUCUAAGGAAACCGCCGGUGAUAAGCCGGAGGAAGGUGGGGAUGACGUCAAGUCCUCAUGGCCCUUACACGCUGGGCUACACACGUGCUACAAUGGCGGUGACAGUGGGCAGCAAGCACGCGAGUGUGAGCUAAUCUCCAAAAGCCGUCUCAGUUCGGAUUGUUCUCUGCAACUCGAGAGCAUGAAGGCGGAAUCGCUAGUAAUCGCGGAUCAGCAUGCCGCGGUGAAUACGUUCCCAGGCCUUGUACACACCGCCCGUCACA
rnacentral:rRNA from 1 species